CGGCUGGGGCGGCGGAGAGCGCGCCGAGCCGCGGCCGGGCUGGCCCGCCCGCCCGUCGCACAUGUUCCGGGACGGCGCCCGGCCGUAGCCGCCUGCGGCGCCUCCUGUCGGCCCGGGAAGGGAGUGCGGAGAGGCGCCGGUCGCCACCCGCGGUGCCCAUGGAGCGGGUGAGGAUGAUCAACGUGCAGCGUCUGCUGGAGGCUGCCGAGUUUUUGGAGCGCCGGGAGCGAGAGUGUGAACAUGGCUACGCCUCUUCAUUCCCGUCCAUGCCGAGCCCCCGACUGCAGCAUUCAAAGCCCCCACGGAGGUUGAGCCGGGCACAGAAACACAGCAGCGGGAGCAGCAACACCAGCACUGCCAACAGAUCUACACACAAUGAGCUGGAAAAGAAUCGGUGAGUCAGUGAUGAGACGAGCUCAUCUGCGCCUUUGUUUAGAACGCUUAAAAGUUCUGAUUCCACUAGGACCAGACUGCACCAGGCACACAACACUUGGUUUGCUCAACAAAGCCAAAGCACACAUCAAGAAACUUGAAGAAGCUGAAAGAAAAAGCCAGCACCAGCUCGAGAAUUUGGAACGAGAACAGAGAUUUUUAAAGUGGCGACUGGAACAGCUGCAGGGUCCUCAGGAGAUGGAGCGAAUACGAAUGGACAGCAUUGGAUCAACUAUUUCUUCAGAUCGUUCUGAUUCAGAGCGAGAGGAGAUUGAAGUGGAUGUUGAAAGCACAGAGUUCUCCCAUGGAGAAGUGGACAAUAUAAGUACCAC
rnacentral:sRNA from 1 species